UACGGAGGGGACUAGCGUUGUUCGGAAUUACUGGGCGUAAAGCGCACGUAGGCGGAUUUGUAAGUCAGGGGUGAAAUCCCGGGGCUCAACUCCAGAACUGCCUUUGAUACUGAGGGGCUCGAGUCCGGGAGAGGUGAGUGGAACUGCGAGUGUAGAGGUGAAAUUCGUAGAUAUUGGGAAGAACACCGGUGGCGAAGGCGGCCAUCUGGCCCAUUUUUGACGCUGAGGCGCGAAAGCGUGGGGAGCAAACAGG
rnacentral:rRNA from 1 species